GUUCACUUCAGCAGUUCAUCUACUAAGAGCAGAAUGACACAGAAAAGAUUAGCAUGGCCCCUGUGCAAGGAUGCCAUGCAAAUUGAUGCAGCAUUGAGUAUUUGG
rnacentral:snRNA from 1 species